rnacentral:rRNA from 1 species
UACGAAGGGGGCUAGCGUUGCUCGGAAUUACUGGGCGUAAAGGGCGCGUAGGCGGGUCGUUAAGUAGGGGGUGAAAGCCCCGGGCUCAACCUGGGAAUGGCGAUGGAUACUGGCUCGCUAGAGUGCGGUAGAGGAGAGUGGAAUUCCCGGUGUAGCAGUGAAAUGCGUAGAUAUCUGGAGGAACACCGGUGGCGAAGGCGGCAUCCUGGACCGAUACUGACGCUGAGGAGCGAAAGCCAGGGGAGCAAAGCGGG